UGGCUCUGCUGCAGGUGAGCCGGUGAGCCAGGCCGAUGGCGGUGACUACAGCCUUGUCUGCUGCAGCAGCGGCUGCGGCCCUAUCAGGCCUGGCAAUGCGACUGUCGCGUUGGGCGGCGACACGCGGCUCCUACAGCGCCUUCUGCAAGGGGCUCACGCGCACGCUGCUCACCUUCUUCGACCUGGCCUGGCGGCUGCGCGUGAACUUCCCUUACUUCUACAUGGUGGCCUCGGUGAUGCUCAAUGUCCGCCUGCAGGUGCGGAUCGAGUGAGCCAUCGCCCGGCACCGCGGCGGCCCCUCGGGCGGAGAGCGCCAUCCGCGCCACCCGCGCCAGGCGGCCGCGGGAAGGACCGUGGGGCCCCGCAGUGCCCAGAGACCGCGGCGGGGGGCGCAGGCGGGACGGCCCGGACCCCUCCAUUUUAGGCCUCCUCCGCGGAGGGCCCCAGGUACCAUAUCCCAUACCGCAAAAACCUUCACAGCCGAGUCCUUUUCCACUGCAUCCAGAGAAGCACCAGAGUCUGGCAAACCUGUUGCCUCCCAUUGGCCAGAAAGGGGGAACACUCGAAAGAGGGGAUGCUACCGCAGGAUUUACCAGGCCCUGUGCAGGAAGGCUCCCUGCAGCACCUGCGAUCACACUCUCCAGACCCAGAAGCCCAUCUACCAGCCAUGAGCAGCCUGGCAGCUGUGUACCACAGGAUCUGGGGAAGUGGUCUUGCUCUUCUAGGUGAUGGCUCACCACUUCUGAGAUCAUUUCAAGAUGGAUCCCUACAUAAAGAUGUCUCCUGCUGUUCCUGUAGCAGCGCGGGGAGCAGCCGAGUGAAGAGCCUACCUAGAAGAAAGGCCUUUCUGGUAGAGGCCUAGAGGGGUGGCAUGGCUCGGGUCCUCUGGCCCUUCCAUAGAAAAGAUGCCAGUGUACCUUGGGCACUGAUAUCUCCUAGCAACACUGUGAGGGAGAGGUAUUCUCCCACCUCAGGAACUCAGCGGGGCUCAAUGAAAGGCGUGGGAUUUGCCCUUGUUACACAGAAUAGUGGGGAGCUUGGCCUGCCCUGGACCUCCAUUCCCCCACCUCCUCUGUAGUCUUCUUUGUGACCUGGCAGGACAUUGGGGUUGGGAGGGAGUAGAGAGCUGCCAGGGGACCUAGGGAGAAAGAGAGACCAUGGGGUAGGGAAGCUAGGCAUCUACCUUUCCUUGGAGUGGUCUAGAAGACAGGCCAAUA